rnacentral:tRNA from 2 species
AAUAAGAUGGCUGAUGUUAGUGGUAAAUUGUAAAUUUAUUUAGGAGUUAAAGUUAACUCUCUUAUUA